UACGUAGGGACCAAGCGUUGUUCGGAUUUACUGGGCGUAAAGGGCGCGUAGGCGGCUUGAUGUGUCAAAGGUGAAAUCCCUCGGCUCAACUGAGGAACUGCCUUUGAAACUGUCUGGCUUGAGGCCGGGAGAGGGUAGCGGAAUUCCCAGUGUAGCGGUGAAAUGCGUAGAUAUUGGGAGGAACACCAGUGGCGAAGGCGGCUACCUGGACCGGUUCUGACGCUGAGGCGCGAAAGCGUGGGUAGCAAACAGG
rnacentral:rRNA from 1 species